UUCUUUGAAUUAAAUUAAAAAGUAAAACCUGCCCACUGAAAUUUUAAAGGGCCGCGGUAUUAUGACCGUGCAAAGGUAGCAUAAUCAUUAGCCUCUUAAUUAGAGGAUUGUAUGAAUGGUUUAACGUAAUUUUAUUUUAUUUAUUUUAUUAUUUUGAAAUUAAACUUUAAGUGAAAAUGCUUAAAUUUUUUUAAAGACGAUAAGACCCUAUAGAGCUUUAUUUAUUAAAAGUAUUUAAAAUUUUAAUUUAUUAAAUAAUUUUUAUUAAAUUUUAUUGGGGCAAUAAAAGAAUAAUUUUAACUUCUUUUAUAUUAAUUUUUAAAAUAUACGGUAACUUAUUAUAAGAAAAUUUAAAAAAGUUACCUUAGGGAUAACAGCGUUAUAAAAAUUGAGAGUUCUUAUCGACAUUUUAGAUUGCGACCUCGAUGUUGAAUUAAAAAUUCUUUAAGGGGCAGUAUUCUUAAUAGAUGGUCUGUUCGACCAUUAAAUUUUU
rnacentral:rRNA from 1 species